UACGGGGGGGGCAAGCGUUGUUCGGAAUUACUGGGCGUAAAGGGCUCGUAGGCGGCCAACUAAGUCAGACGUGAAAUCCCUCGGCUUAACCGGGGAACUGCGUCUGAUACUGAAUGGCUUGAGUUCGGGAGAGGGAUGCGGAAUUCCAGGUGUAGCGGUGAAAUGCGUAGAUAUCUGGAGGAACACCGGUGGCGAAGGCGGCAUCCUGGACCAACACUGACACUGAGGAGCGAAAGCCAGGGGAGCAAACGGG
rnacentral:rRNA from 1 species